rnacentral:lncRNA from 1 species
AGUCUGUGAUUGCUGAGAUUCUAGUCUGGUUCCCUCCCUGCCACAGCUCUUCUCUAUAACUGGGUAGAUUGUGUGCAGCCUCACUCCACCAGAGAGCAGAUAAAUAGAUUCAAGACUCCAAACUACUCAGAUGUCACAGUAAAAAUGGCUGCAAAAGGGGCUGCAUUAUCACACAGCUGGACUUGAGUCAGGAAAACAUCUUGAGUCAGGAAAGCUCUUCAAGUCACUGGGAGAUACGGAUUACUCACGGUGACACUACCCUGUGCUCUGUUGUUUGUCUCUUUGGAGAGCAGAAGCAGAAGGUUGUAUGAAAGCUAUUCGAGCGAGCCCAUGUGAAAAGCACACAAUGGGGUUGGUAAACAAUGGAACGAUUUACAACCAGCUUGUAAAAAGAGCAACAGUGUGUUUGGAUCCUACAUGGCCUCAUGGACACCUUGGUGCAAGCCUCAAUAAUUUUCUUCCUUUGUCCUCUUGCUUUCUAACAGAGGACAGAGAGGCCAUAACCUAUCUGCAAAGUGGAGCAGCAGCAGCAAGGUCUAAACCAGAAGUUUUGAGGAAAUCCAUGGGUAUCUGGAAAAAAAAAUCAUGGUAUGUCACAGCAUACCAGCAAUUCUAAAAAGCUUGUGCCAUACUGGACCUGAAAUCAUUAUCUUAAGUCUGAGUAUGUGGGAGAGAAUGCAUUAUUUCUGGAAACAGACUGCAUCCUUCUGUAUGCUUUACUUGGCUUUAUUCCCUUCUAGUUACUUUACCAAUAAAGUAUGUUGUAUGUAUUUUAUGUUUACA